AAGGGGCUGCCACUGCCCCUGGUCCCAGGGAGCCCCGUGAAAGCCUCAGUGAGGAGCUCCCCGUGCAAGCCAAGCUCAGCCUGGGCUGGGAGCUGCCAGCAAACAGAGCCAGGCUCAGCCCAGGGGGACCUGGUCCCUUCCCCACACCUCCUGCACCCCACAUCCACUCACUGCUGCUGCCUGCCCCUCCUGAGCCGUCCCUGCCCCUGGUGGCACUCUGCAUGGCCCAUGGAGCCACCCAAGGGGCAGGUUUAGCCCAGGCUGCUCCCCUCGGCACACCCCAGAGUGCCUGAGCAGCAAUCUGGGCCUCUGGCACCAAAGAAACCAACAGAAUUUAGUCAGUGGUGGCUUCCUUUGGGUUUAUCCUUGGGAUGAACACAAGAGGCAGAGGCAGCACUGGGCAGGCUGCAGCUCAGGCUGGCCCGAGGUGCCUGUGAGGCACCUGAGCUGUGGCACCUGCGGGACCCCAGCCCAGCCCUGGGCUCUGCAGUGAUGCUGAGAGAGGGCAAAGUGUGAGCUGCAUCAAAUAAUGGCAUUUACCACGGAGUCACCUGCUCCUUUCAGCGGCCAGCAACCCUGAGAUCACACACUGCAACCCCUGCAGGCGGCUGUUUCCAGCUCUCACAGCCACCCCCAGAGAUCCAUCAAGCACAAAUAAUUCUGCCCCACUCAGCUGCCUCACCCCCUUGGACUGUGAGCCCUGCAGGUCUCAGUGGGGUUAAACCUGCAGUGGAAUCCUGAGAUUAAAAGGUGGCAUUUAGGGCACAUUUCAGCACAGCAGAACCAACAAGGCUGACGUGCCCACAGCACCAAGACAUACCCUGGCUGCAGGUUUUAUAUCCAUAAACCACAAUAAAUGGCAUGCUAACAGAGA